GGUUAAGCGACUAAGCGUACACGGUGGAUGCCCUGGCAGUCAGAGGCGAUGAAGGACGUGCUAAUCUGCGAAAAGCGCCGGCGAGGUGAUAUGAACCUUUGACCCGGCGAUGUCCGAAUGGGGAAACCCAGUGUGAUUCGUCACACUAUCGUUAACUGAAUACAUAGGUUAACGAGGCGAACCGGGGGAACUGAAACAUCUAAGUACCCCGAGGAAAAGAAAUCAACCGAGAUUCCCCCAGUAGCGGCGAGCGAACGGGGAGCAGCCCAGAGUCUGAAUCAGCUUGUGUGUUAGUGGAACGGUCUGGAAAGUCCGGCGAUACAGGGUGAUAGCCCCGUACACGAAAGCACACAGGUUGUGAACUCGAAGAGUAGGGCGGGACACGUGGUAUCCUGUCUGAAUAUGGGGGGACCAUCCUCCAAGGCUAAAUACUCCUGACUGACCGAUAGUGAACCAGUACCGUGAGGGAAAGGCGAAAAGAACCCCGGCGAGGGGAGUGAAAAAGAACCUGAAACCGUGUACGUACAAGCAGUGGGAGCACCUUCGUGGUGUGACUGCGUACCUUUUGUAUAAUGGGUCAGCGACUUAUAUUCUGUAGCAAGGUUAACCGUAUAGGGGAGCCGAAGGGAAACCGAGUCUUAACUGGGCGUUAAGUUGCAGGGUAUAGACCCGAAACCCGGUGAUCUAGCCAUGGGCAGGUUGAAGGUUGGGUAACACUAACUGGAGGACCGAACCGACUAAUGUUGAAAAAUUAGCGGAUGACUUGUGGCUGGGGGUGAAAGGCCAAUCAAACCGGGAGAUAGCUGGUUCUCCCCGAAAGCUAUUUAGGUAGCGCCUCGUGAACUCAUCUUCGGGGGUAGAGCACUGUUUCGGCUAGGGGGCCAUCCCGGCUUACCAACCCGAUGCAAACUACGAAUACCGAAGAAUGUUAUCACGGGAGACACACGGCGGGUGCUAACGUCCGUCGUGAAGAGGGAAACAACCCAGACCGCCAGCUAAGGUCCCAAAGUCAUGGUUAAGUGGGAAACGAUGUGGGAAGGCACAGACAGCCAGGAUGUUGGCUUAGAAGCAGCCAUCAUUUAAAGAAAGCGUAAUAGCUCACUGGUCGAGUCGGCCUGCGCGGAAGAUGUAACGGGGCUAAACCAUGCACCGAAGCUGCGGCAGCGACGCUUAUGCGUUGUUGGGUAGGGGAGCGUUCUGUAAGCCGUUGAAGGUGUGCUGUGAGGCAUGCUGGAGGUAUCAGAAGUGCGAAUGCUGACAUAAGUAACGAUAAAGCGGGUGAAAAGCCCGCUCGCCGGAAGACCAAGGGUUCCUGUCCAACGUUAAUCGGGGCAGGGUGAGUCGACCCCUAAGGCGAGGCCGAAAGGCGUAGUCGAUGGGAAACAGGUUAAUAUUCCUGUACUUGGUGUUACUGCGAAGGGGGGACGGAGAAGGCUAUGUUAGCCGGGCGACGGUUGUCCCGGUUUAAGCAUGUAGGCGGAGGUUCCAGGUAAAUCCGGUACCUUUUAACGCUGAGGUGUGAUGACGAGGCACUACGGUGCUGAAGUAACAAAUGCCCUGCUUCCAGGAAAAGCCUCUAAGCAUCAGGUAACAUCAAAUCGUACCCCAAACCGACACAGGUGGUCAGGUAGAGAAUACCAAGGCGCUUGAGAGAACUCGGGUGAAGGAACUAGGCAAAAUGGUGCCGUAACUUCGGGAGAAGGCACGCUGAUAUGUAGGUGAAGCCCCUGCGGGUGGAGCUGAAAUCAGUCGAAGAUACCAGCUGGCUGCAACUGUUUAUUAAAAACACAGCACUGUGCAAACACGAAAGUGGACGUAUACGGUGUGACGCCUGCCCGGUGCCGGAAGGUUAAUUGAUGGGGUUAGCGGUAACGCGAAGCUCUUGAUCGAAGCCCCGGUAAACGGCGGCCGUAACUAUAACGGUCCUAAGGUAGCGAAAUUCCUUGUCGGGUAAGUUCCGACCUGCACGAAUGGCGUAAUGAUGGCCAGGCUGUCUCCACCCGAGACUCAGUGAAAUUGAACUCGCUGUGAAGAUGCAGUGUACCCGCGGCAAGACGGAAAGACCCCGUGAACCUUUACUAUAGCUUGACACUGAACACUGGUCCUUGAUGUGUAGGAUAGGUGGGAGGCUUUGAAGCGUGGACGCCAGUCUGCGUGGAGCCGACCUUGAAAUACCACCCUUUAAUGGCUGGUGUUCUAACGUAGACCCGUAAUCCGGGUUGCGGACAGUGUCUGGUGGGUAGUUUGACUGGGGCGGUCUCCUCCCAAAGAGUAACGGAGGAGCACGAAGGUUAGCUAAUCCUGGUCGGACAUCAGGAGGUUAGUGCAAUGGCAUAAGCUAGCUUGACUGCGAGAGUGACGGCUCGAGCAGGUGCGAAAGCAGGUCAUAGUGAUCCGGUGGUUCUGAAUGGAAGGGCCAUCGCUCAACGGAUAAAAGGUACUCCGGGGAUAACAGGCUGAUACCGCCCAAGAGUUCAUAUCGACGGCGGUGUUUGGCACCUCGAUGUCGGCUCAUCACAUCCUGGGGCUGAAGUAGGUCCCAAGGGUAUGGCUGUUCGCCAUUUAAAGUGGUACGCGAGCUGGGUUUAGAACGUCGUGAGACAGUUCGGUCCCUAUCUGCCGUGGGCGCUGGAGAAUUGAGGGGGGCUGCUCCUAGUACGAGAGGACCGGAGUGGACGCAUCACUGGUGUUCGGGUUGUCAUGCCAAUGGCACUGCCCGGUAGCUAAAUGCGGAAAAGAUAAGUGCUGAAAGCAUCUAAGCACGAAACUUGCCCCGAGAUGAGUUCUCCCUGACCCUUUAAGGGUCCUGAAGGAACGUUGAAGACUACGACGUUGAUAGGUCGGGUGUGUAAGCGCAGCGAUGCGUUGAGCUAACCGAUACUAAUGAACCGUGAGGCUUAACCUU
rnacentral:rRNA from 1 species